rnacentral:lncRNA from 1 species
AACAAUAUGGGUAAGUGUAAUACUAAAUACAGUAACAACAAUAAUGAACGAAAGAGAUAGAACUAUAAAUGAAAGCACAACUACCGCUACUGUAAUGAACAACUGAAAGUAUACAUGCAGCUAAACUAUAGUAGCAAGACAAGUGUAAAGAAAGAACUGAAGGUAUACAAACAACAACCGCUACUAUAGCUAUAUGCAAUCGGUCAAGAAGUCCAAAUAUAUCCAAUCUGAUAUCUGCUGCUUUAUUGGUCCGCACCGCAAACCACAAGCCUAUGCCACUACUACUCUCCAAUGUAUAUAACCCCUCUAGGGCUCACGGGUUGACACCUGCAACCACUUUUCCGGAAAAGAACACUCCCUGCGGUGGAUUAGACCGCCAGUGUUCAUGAAAUGCGACGAGUAUCGGGCGGUCAAUGCUGAUAUGCUCAAAGGCCAAACGUCGGCAACCAGCCGACAAUCCUGCCCACAGGGCUCAUCGACCGUAUAGGUCAUCAACUGUAAGGAAGCACAAGAACUGACCACUCAGGUCAACUAGGAUGGGACAACAUCAACAUCCUCUCAAACAUAUGCAAAUACUGCUCAAUGAACCACAAAGACUGACCACUUAGAUCAACUAGGAUAUAUGCACAACGAAUCGACGAAUAGGUCAUCAGGGUGUAUCAAUGGAAUCCAGAACUACCGUCGGCCACUAGCCAACAAUCCAACCCCUCUAGGGUACAUCGACCACAACGGUCAUCGAACGACAGAAGUCAAGGAACCGACCGAAUGUGUCACAAAUACGAGAUACAAGAACAGACCAACUAGGUCACUGAUACGGAGUACGAAAACCAACCAACCAGGUCACUGAUACGAAGUACAAGAAUCGACCAACCAAGUCACUGAUAUGAAGUACAAGAAUCGACNAUAAACAACAAUAUGGGUAAGUGUAAUACUAAAUACAGUAGCAACAAUAAUGAACGAAAGAGAUAGAACUAUAAAUGAAAGCACAACUACCGCUACUGUAAUGAACAACUGAAAGUAUAUAUGCAGCUAAACUAUAGUAACAAGACAAGCGUGAAGAAAGAACUGAAGGUAUACAAACAACAACCGCUACUAUAGCUAUAUGCGUCAAUCGGUCAAGAAGUCCAAAUAUAUCCAAUCUGAAAUCUGUUGCUCUAUUGGUCCACACCGCAAACCUCAAGCCUAUGCCACUACUACUCUCCCAUGCAUAUAACCCCUCUAGGGCUCACGGGUUGACACCUGCAACCACUUUUCCGGAAAAGAACACUCUUUGCGGUGGAUCAGACCGCGAGCGUUCGUGAAAUGCGACGAGUAUCGGGCGGUCAAUGCUGAUAUGCUCAAAGGCCAAACGUCGGCAACCAGCCGACGAUCCUGUCCACAGGGCUCAUCGACCAUAUAGGUCAUCAACUGUAAGGAAGCACAAGAACUGACCACUCAGGUCAACUAGGAUGGAACAACUCAACAUCCCCUCAAACAUAUGCAAGUACUGCUCAAUGAAUCACAAGGACUGACCACUCAGGUCAACUAGGAUAUAUGCAUAACGAAUCGACGAAUAGGUCAUCAAAGUAUAUCAAUAGAAUCCAGAACUACCGUCGGCCACUAGCCAACAAUCCAACCCCUCUAGGGUACAUCGACCACAACGGUCAUCGAACGACAGAAGUCAAGGAACCGACCAAAUGUGUCACAAAUACGAGAUACGAGAACCAACCAACCAAGUCACUGAUACGAAGUACAAGAAUCGACCAACCAAGUCACUGAUAUGAAGUACAAGAAUCGACCAACCAAGUCACUGAUAUGAAGUACAAGAAUCGACCAACGAGGUCAACAGAUACGCACAAAGAUAGAACCACUCUACUCCUACUCAGGAUACUAAGCAUGCAAACAACGAGUAGAGUAUAAUAGAAUAACAUGGGUGCAAGGCUCAANAGGUCACUGAUACGGAGUACGAAAACCAACCAACCAGGUCACUGAUACGAAGUACAAGAAUCGACCAACCAAGUCACUGAUAUGAAGUACAAGAAUCGACCAACCAGGUCAACAGAUACGUACAUAGAUAGAACCACUCUACUCCUACUCAGGAUACUAAGCAUGCACACAACGAGUAGAGUAUAAUGGAAUAACAUGGGUGCAAGGCUCAAUGUAUACUAUGCAAUAAUAACAACAGAAGAGUAAGGGUAAGAAACCAUCACCGAGUGUGCAUCACUGUACCGACGUCGGAUCGAAGUACCCACCUGUACAAAUGUCGCGCUUGUCUCCUGACUGCAAAAGAACGUCAAUCGGACCUAAGGAGGGUCCACUGGGUUAGUGUCCAACCCACAAACAAUAAACGCUGAAUCUACAACCCCACAAACUAAACCCACGGAUAUCGGUUUCCCAAAACCGAUUACCGUAACUCGCCGGAAGUCCCGAAAUCGCACCGGGACUCCGUCGGGACCCACGAACUAUCCCGUAACACACCGACUCGUGCUAUGAGUCACCCGCUGCCACUAAAUAUAAAUAAUCGUGCAUCAUGGCAGCAAACACAACUCACGUCGAAACAAUUAUCGUCGGAUAAUCAUUUCGAUCCGGGUUCCUGGAAGUGUCUAAUUCGACACCGGAACUCACCGUCGCUCACCCGUCAUUUCUAAACUCUCGAAAUGACGCGAGUGAUC